UACGGAGGGGGCUAGCGUUGUUCGGAAUUACUGGGCGUAAAGCGCACGUAGGCGGAUUGGAAAGUUGGGGGUGAAAUCCCGGGGCUCAACCCCGGAACUGCCUUCAAAACUCCCAGUCUGGAGGUCGAGAGAGGUGAGUGGAAUUCCGAGUGUAGAGGUGAAAUUCGUAGAUAUUCGGAGGAACACCAGUGGCGAAGGCGGCUCACUGGCGUCGAUACUGACGCUGAGGUGCGAAAGCGUGGGGAGCAAACAGG
rnacentral:rRNA from 1 species